UACGAAGGGUGCAAGCGUUACUCGGAAUUACUGGGCGUAAAGCGUGCGUAGGUGGUCCGUUAAGUCUGUCGUGAAAGCCCCGGGCUCAACCUGGGAAUGGCGAUGGAUACUGGCGAGCUAGAGUGCGGUAGAGGAGAGUGGAAUUCCCGGUGUAGCAGUGAAAUGCGUAGAGAUCGGGAGGAACAUCAGUUGCGAAGGCGGCUCACUGGGUCUCUUCUGACGCUGAGGCACGAAAGCUAGGGUAGCGAACGGG
rnacentral:rRNA from 1 species